UAGACAAUAACUAUAUUAAUUAAACAAAAACAGCUACCUAUACAAAUAUUGUUUAGUCACUUCUUUGAAAUAGAUCAUCAACCAUCGUGCAGCGUUUCAUCAUCAUCUUAUUACAGUUGAAAAUUAAUAAAAUGAAAUAACAACGCGGAAAAAAGAAUCAAAAGUAAAAUAUAUUUUAAUGUGACACCACCAUAAAUUGUGAUAAGGUAUGUUGGGAGUAAUAAUUAUUUCUUUUCUUUUAUCGAACCACAAUCUCGCCAUCACUAAAUCAAAAUUCAAGAACCAAAAGAAACUAAAUUCCUAAAGAGUGAAAACUAUAUCUUUGUUCCAUCAAAAAAAAAAAAAAACUAUAUCUUUGGCCUCUCUGUUCUUGAACAAUAUUGAUUGAUUGCCACUUAAAUGUGUGAGUUUUAGGUUGGUGUUACCGUGUUAGACAGGAUUUAAGUCCGAGACCUUUGGCCUCACUAAUAUCCACUUUAUUCUUUUUGCCCAAACUAAU
rnacentral:lncRNA from 1 species